ensembl:lncRNA
GGGAAAUGCUGGCGCGGCUCUCCACUAGCCAGUGAGGUCCAGGGUCACGCCGAGAGGCCGGAGGGGACUCCAGGAAGCCUCGAGAAGACGGCCCCGGGCCGCGGCCACUUCUCCGCGGGGAAGUGGACACCUACUUUGCGACCCGGCUUGCGCGGAGCCCCCUCCGGGGUCGCGAGCGUGGGGGUGCGUGGAUGGCACUCUGCGAUGGCGCAUCCACAGAGCUGAGGACGUGGAGGGCGAGCAGAGCUGCGGCGCCCGCGCCGGGGCGGGGGCCUGCGGGGCGGUCCUGCCUUCUGGACUGCGACUCGGGGCUGCGGGAGGCCCUGCACCGCUCGGCCGCCCGGCCCAGUCCUCCUACCUCUCCGCUCACUUUGCCGCCCCAGCUUCUCCCCUCCCCCCGCAUCCCUGUCCCCUGGCUUCUCUCUGCGACGCCUUUGCCCGAGUAAGAAAUUCAGCUGAGCGCAAUCGGAACUGUACUCAGGCAGAUACAAUCGCCGCAGCCCCCGGGGGCGCUCGCAUUGGAGAGGCGAUGCGGGUGGCGCCCAGGAGGCUGGGUGCGGGGAAGAAGGGGGCGUUCGUUUGCAAUUCGCCUCCCCAGGGCGUGAGCUAGGGUGUCCCCUUCUCUCCAGUUGGGGGGCUUGGGUCCGGACAACGAGGCCUGGCUGCCCGGGCGGGCGGGGCGGGGCGCCUGGGGCUCCGCAGCGACACGGUGGGGGCGCGGGCUCUCUGCCCUGCGGCGGCGCCGGGAAACCCCUUCCUCUGCGGCGGGUCCCUGGGGAUUCUGGGCGAGGCGAAGGCGACGUGGAUUCUCCUCCCCCUCACGCCUGCCUCUCCCACCCUCUUCCCCGAGACCUCGGAGGUGGCCGAAAAGUGGGAAGGGAGGCGAGCACACGGACAGAGAAGGCCUGGGAGCGGGAGAUCGCGAGCUGGGGGAUUCGGGGUCGGGAAGGGAGCAUCAGGGCGCGAAGGAAGGGGCCUUGGGGCGAGGAGGACCCAGAUGGAGAGGUGGUGGUGGGGAGAAGCGAGCGAGAGUCCUUUCCCUUCCGAGUGGCGCAGGGGGACCUCUUCCCCGGGGAACCCCCACCCAGCAGCUCCCAGCCUCAAGAACAAAGGGUCUGGGAGGCACGGUCGGGGUCGGGAGCGGAGGUGGAGGGAGGCAGGAAGGCAAGCGGUGGGGGCAGGGGAGGGCGCCUCCCGCAUUUCCUCUGGCGGCCCUAUGACGGAAAGCUCCCUGCAGCAAACGCCUCACGGAGGCCGCUUCAAAUCCGGGAGGGCUCGGGUUCCUUACCUAACGGUUGCCCUCCCUCCCUUCCUCCCCCAGCGUCCCCACCCCCUCCGGGGACCGAGGCCCGGGAGCUGCAAGGCCGGCAGCGGCCGCGGCGCGGGCGGAACCGCGGGGCAGCAGCGCCUCCUGCAGGUGCCGGGCGCCCCCGCAGCCGCCGCGCCGCGCCGACUCUUAAGGUGGAACCAGCCCCGUUCCCCACCCGCGCGUUCGCCUCUCCCGCAACCGUGUUCCACCGGCUGCGAGUCUCCGCGCAGAAGCGGGCCUGACUGUCCAGAACGGUCGGUGUCUGCUGGUCCCUGCUGCUGUCUCCUUAAUCCCUUGGCCCUGCUCCCUGCAGGACCUCUCCGGGGAUGCCCCGGUAUCGAUUUCGACAGUUACAGCUGAUGAUUCCCCGUUGGUUUUAAAGGAUGCAUAAAGUCACGCGUCAGGGUGGAAAGACCAAAACGGCGUUUUUUUAACCUGAAAGCAAACUUUAUUUUCGUUUAUUAAAAGCAGAAAGCCAGCAGGAAAGCGUCGCCGAGGGUCUGUCCACGGAUCUUUCGGAUCCAAGUGUUCGGGAUGAGACUGGCCGAUCCGGGAAUCGCAUCCGGCGCCCACACCCCGCAAACUCGUGGGCAGUUGCGGGUGCAAGAGGCCGCGGAGGGGCGACGCGCCCGCGGGAACCCCUCCUUGCGCAUCUCCGGCGCCCCAGCUUCAGCCUAUUCUCGCCCGGACCCUUGGUUUAUUUGGUGAAAUCUGGGAACGUGGAGAGGAUAGAAGAGCAGUUUUUCUUUCUUUCCUUUUUUCUUUUUAACUAAAUGUGCGUGUUAACUCAUCGUUUCUUGGAUAUAAGUGUCCUCAGCGAAUUCUGGAUUCUUGGGGAAAACCUACGAGCACUGAGCAGGACAGGAACACGCCAACUUUGGUUCCAGUGCCAUCUGCAAUUUGACUUUCGUCAAUUGUUCCUGCCAGCUAUUUCGAUGAAAUAAAUGGAAUGUCGCUUAACAGGCAGAUGCUUUGAUACAUUUUCUUCUUAAAGGAUCUGAUUCCUGGCGUCCAAAGGAAACUGGAAUUUAAGAAAAUAACAGAAUGCGGAAUCUCAACAGUUGUUUUAAUGGCGGCUAGUUCGUCCCGUUCCAGAAGGCACAAUCCUUCGCCAUGGGACUUUGCUGCUCCCAUCCAGACGUGGAAUCUCUUCUCCACCCCCUGUAAUGCGGGCUGGCCUUUGUGACUGACUUUGACAAAUUUGAUAUAGUGGAACUGAUGUUUUCUAGUUCUGGAAUUGAGGCCUCAAGAAGCUUUGUGGCUGCCACCUUUGUCCUCUUGGAACGCCAUGCCACGCAGAAGCCCGGGAUGAAAGGUCAGGAGGAAGACGGAGGGACGCAGCUGUCUCUGCUGUUCGCUGAGUCCAGCUCCCCGCACCCCACUGAAUGCUGUCACACACAUGAGCCCAGGCAAAGUUGGCACAAAAAGCACACAGCCAACAGAGUCAUGAAAAAUAAAAAAAAAUCCUUGCUGUUUUAAGCCAGUAAGCUUUGAGGUGGUUUGUUAUAUAGCAAUAGUAACCAUACUUGUCUUGUUAUCUGCAAUUAUUUCAAUUGUAUAAAAUUGAGAGAGAAUUUGUUGAUAUGUCAGGUGUCUAAAUUGUGAUCAAAUCAAAGAGCUCUCAGUUUUUUGGUUUUUUUUUUUUUUUUUUUGAGUAAGAUUAGCCCUGAGCUAACAUCUGCUGCCAAUCCUCCCCUUUUUGCCGAGGAAGACUGGCCCUGAGCUAAAAUCUGUGCCCAUCUUCCUCUACUUUAUAUGUGGGAUGCCUACCACAGCAUGGCUUGCCAAGUGGUGCCGUGUGUGCACCUGGGAUCCGAACCGGCGAACCCCAGACCGCCAAAGCAAAUGUCGGAACUUAACCGCUGCGCCACUGGACCGCCCCGAGCUCUCACUAUUUUAAGAGCCUGAGUUAGCAUAUGUGAAGCCACCACGGGGGCCCAAGGUUACUAUGUGUGAUUGUUAUCAUGAUGUUGAUCCCUGAGGUUGGUGAGAUUUAAGAAAGUCACAUUAUUUUAUAUCAUCCCUACGGCAAUGCAGUGAAGCAGGCAGGGUGGUUAUUAUGUUCAUUUUGAAGAUGGAGAAACAGGUUCAGGACAGCCACAGAAGUGUUGAGACCAACAGGCUUGAGAAUGCAUAUCCCUGAGGAGAUGUCAAUGAACCUCAUUUUUCUCACUUGGAAGAUGAAGGGAUUGUAUCAGAGGAUUCCUGAAGUCCCGUUAGCCACGCCAGACGUCUCAGC